CAUUAGGCAGUUGGCGGGGUAACGGCCCACCAAACCGACGAUGGAUAGGGGUUCUGAGAGGAAGGUCCCCCACAUUGGUACUGAGACACGGACCAAACUCCUACGGGAGGCAGCAGUGAGGAAUAUUGGUCAAUGGGCGUAAGCCUGAACCAGCCAAGUCGCGUGAGGGAUGAAGGUUCUAUGGAUCGUAAACCUCUUUUAUAAGGGAAUAAAGUGCGGGACGUGUCCCGUUUUGUAUGUACCUUAUGAAUAAGGAUCGGCUAACUCCGUGCCAGCAGCCGCGGUAAUACGGAGGAUCCGAGCGUUAUCCGGAUUUAUUGGGUUUAAAGGGUGCGUAGGCGGCCUUUUAAGUCAGCGGUGAAAGUCUGUGGCUCAACCAUAGAAUUGCCGUUGAAACUGGGAGGCUUGAGUAUGUUUGAGGCAGGCGGAAUGCGUGGUGUAGCGGUGAAAUGCUUAGAUAUCACGCAGAACCCCGAUUGCGAAGGCAGCCUGCCAAGCCAUGACUGACGCUGAUGCACGAAAGCGUGGGGAUCAAACAGGAUUAGAUACCCUGGUAGUCCACGCAGUAAACGAUGAUCACUAGCUGUUUGCGAUACAC
rnacentral:rRNA from 1 species